GACGAACGCUGGCGGCGUGCUUAACACAUGCAAGUCGAACGGAAAGGCCCUGCUUUUGUGGGGUGCUCGAGUGGCGAACGGGUGAGUAACACGUGAGUACCCCCCCCCCCCCCCCCCCACACCUCCAGGCAACCGGGGCUAAUACCGGAUAGGAGCUCCUGCUGCAUGGUGGGGGUUGGAAAGUUUCGGCGGUUGGGGAUGGACUCGCGGCUUAUCAGCUUGUUGGUGGGGUAGUGGCUUACCAAGGCUUUGACGGGUAGCCGGCCUGAGAGGGUGACCGGCCACAUUGGGACUGAGAUACGGCCCAGACUCCUACGGGAGGCAGCAGUGGGGAAUAUUGCACAAUGGGCGGAAGCCUGAUGCAGCAACGCCGCGUGCGGGAUGACGGCCUUCGGGUUGUAAACCGCUUUCGCCUGUGACGAAGCGUGAGUGACGGUAAUGGGUAAAGAAGCACCGGCUAACUACGUG
rnacentral:rRNA from 1 species